rnacentral:rRNA from 1 species
UCCCGCACGAGCGCACCCUUGUCCUAGUUGCCAUCAUUUGGUUGGGCACUCUAUCGAGACUGCCGGUGACAAACCGGAGGAAGGUGGGGAUGACGUCAAGUCCUCAUGGCCCUUAUGGGUAGGGCUUCACACGUCAUACAAUGGUCGGUACAGAGGGUUGCCAAGCCGCGAGGCGGAGCCAAUCCCUUAAAGCCGAUCGUAGUCCGGAUCGCAGUCUGCAACUCGACUGCGUGAAGUCGGAAUCGCUAGUAAUCGCGGAUCAGCAUGCUGCGGUGAAUACGUUCCCGGGUCUUGUACACACCGCCCGUA